CUAAAAUAGUUCUGGGAUGGCUGCCAUACAUACAGCUCUAUCAUAUUGUUGGGAUCCUAACUCAAAUCGUUAGACAAGGAUAGAGAUCAGAGACCCAUGGUGAAUUAAGUUUGUACUUUUCAGGGAAUCAUAAAGAUACUAAGAAUACAGGAAAAAACAAAAACCAGGAACCUUGCCUUGUAACCAUCUCCUAUCGCAGGGAGAAAUUGAGACACAGAGACCGACACCAAAGAGAGAAGAUGAUAUGAGGAGACACAGGGAGAAGAUGGACAUUUAACAGCUGAGGAACACAAGACUACCAGAAGCUAGGAGAGAGGCCUGAAACAGAUCCUUUCUC
rnacentral:lncRNA from 1 species